rnacentral:rRNA from 1 species
UACGGAGGGUGCGAGCGUUGUCCGGAAUCAUUGGGCGUAAAGGGCGCGUAGGUGGCCCGGUCAGUUCGUGGUGAAAGCGCGGGGCUCAACCCUGCGUCGGCCAUGAAUACUGCCGCGGCUGGAGCACUGUAGAGGCAGGCGGAAUUCCGGGUGUAGCGGUGGAAUGCGUAGAUAUGUGGAGGAAUACCGAUGGCGAAGGCAGCCCCCUGGGAUAACACUGACGCUCAUGCACGAAAGCGUGGGAGCAAACAGG